AAACUUAACCUCCAACAAGGCCACACAUCCUCUGAGUUAACACACUGAAUUGUACAGAGGUAAGGAGGAACAGAUCAAUCCAGUCUGCAGUCAGUUUGGACCAGCUAGAAACCAGCUGCCAACUUCCUAAACACCUUAAGCUUCCAGCAGGGAUUCCUUCAACAAAGACUUCAUGGCAUUUCACCUGUCUCAGAUGGCUGCUGGCGACUUCCGGCGACCUGCGGCGGUAUCCUGUGACAUGAAGAAGUUGAGAAAAGUACUUUUUCUUUAUGCAAACACGAGCGAAUUGGAGCUCACGUGAUCAAUUUCUUCAGUUAGCCUACUGUAGU